ACGGGGGGUGCAAGCGUUGUUCGGAAUUAUUGGGCGUAAAGCGCGUGUAGGCGGAUUGUUAAGUCUGAUGUGAAAGCCCCGGGCUCAACCUGGGAAGUGCCUUGGAAACUGGUAGACUUGAUUAUGGGUGAGGGUAGUGGAAUUUCUGGUGUAGGGGUGAAAUGCGUAGAUAUCAGGAGGAACACCGAUGGCGUAGGCGGCUUCCUGGACCGAUAUUGACGCUGAGGCACGAAAGCGUGGGGAUCGAACAG
rnacentral:rRNA from 1 species